UUUUACCUAUUGAAAUUAAAUUAUUUUAGUUAUUUUAGUUGAAAAGUUGUGUUAAAUUUAAUUUUCGAUAGUUUUUUCGUUAAUAUUUUAUUAAAUUAUAUACAAAAAACUUCAGAUACUCAUCUAGAUUUAUCAAAUAUUCACUUUAGUACCCUUUAAUUUUAACUUUAUCACUGAUUUAAGGAAAAAAAUAAUAAAAUUGAUAAGAAAAAGAGAAAAAAGAAACCACAGGGGAGCAAAUUGAUACAUUUUAAACCACAGGGGGGCAAAGUAUUUUUUAUGUAUAACCUUUCUCACGGGACGGACAAACCUGUCACAAUUAUAAAAAUUUCUCUGUCCGCACAGACAGAGUAUUUCUUGUAUUUGCACAAUGUGCCAUCCUAUUACAUUAUCACGAUCAACUAAUUCCACUCAUAACUAUCAACCAACAAUCAUAUUAU
rnacentral:lncRNA from 1 species